rnacentral:tRNA from 4 species
GGUAGUUCAGUUGGUUAGAAUACCGGCCUGUCACGCCGGGGGUCGCGGGUUCGAGUCCCGUCC